AUGCUACUUUUUCUAAUUGCUGUUUGUAACAAAGAUUAGUCUGCAUGUGCGGAAGUACUUUCUUUUGUCGGGUGUGGAUAUCAUUGUCUGGGAUAGCGCAAGGCGCAAAAAUAAAUAAUUCUCUUAUCUCAAGUUCGGAGCAUCGUUUCCGUAAAAAGGAGUUCAAUCAAUUCCGAACGAGUUGCCGAAUUGCAUCAACGGGUGGUCUAAAGGCCGUCGUUAAGUGACAAAUUGAAAACGACCUAGAUUUGAAGGUGCAAACUACAAAUUCGUUAACCAACAUUUUUAGCAUUUGAGCUAUCGUUGUGAUUCCUUUGUUAGCAUGCCUUGAGGUAGGUAUAUAUAAGAUAGGGAGUUUUUCCGCGUGUUGUCUCCCCACUUGUGUUUGUGGUUAUAAUUGCUUUAAUUGAUUCCACGGGAAGUAAAAACGCACUAAUUGUCGUGUGCCACGUUUUGUCUUGGACCGAUGUAUUCGGGUUACGUUUUUGUGUGGAUCACAUCUGUUUCUGGUUAUUGUUUAUGUCUGUUAAGUAGCCGUAAGGUGAUUUAUGCUGUUUUUAUAAUAUAGCCGCAAUAGGGACUGAGAUAUUCUGAUUUUGACGUAGCAGAUCGCCCUUCAAAGAUGAAGAGAGAAAAACCUGCGACUGGUAAAGUUGGAGAUGAAUAUGUCGUCCCAAUCGCCUUUGAAUUGGCCUACCCCAUAGAAGGCACAAUGGGCUGCAAUUGGACAGCAGGUUAACAAAAGAACCUUCUAUGAGCUCUCAUGUGAUUCGUUUUUCACAUCUCUUGGAUAUUGAUUUAAAUCAUUUGUAGCGGUUCUUCGACCUCUCUCGUGCUGCUCUCUUGCUACGCGAAAGUCGGAAGUUUUUAGAAGGUACCGGUACUGUAAAAGACGGUAAAUCUACAUCUACUUCAUCAGCAAUAUCUUCAACAAUGCCACCGAUAUCGAUUCCUCCUUGAUCAACUUCCACAGACGAAUCUCCAUCUUUUACUUCUUCAACAAUGUCUACAACAAUCUCACCAAUAU